GGGCUAUACAGAGAAACCCUGUCUCGAAAAAACAAAACAAAACAAAACAAAAAAAAGAAUGACCAGCAUGAAGGAGAAGGAGAUCUAUAAAUCAUUGAAAGCUUAUAAAGUGAAAGGCCGCCUUGUUGAAUUUCUUUCAAAUGACUUUCAUAUCUCCUAGAAACAUGUAAGGUAAAAGAACUGCAGGGAAAAAAAUGGAGAAGAGACUGAGGGAAAGGAGGUCCAGUGACUGGCCCGACUUGAGGUCCAUCUGACAGGAGGCUCCAAGGCCUGACACUAUUAUUGAUGCUAUGGUGUGCUUACAGACAGGUACCUAGUAUGGCUACCCUCUGAGAGGCCCAACAAGCAGCUGACUAGGACAGAAGCAGAUACUUACAAGACUCAACCAGUGAUCUAAAGUUGGGGAUACCUGUGGUUGAAUUAAGGAAAGGCUGGACAAAGUUGAGGAGGAGAGUGACCCCAUAGGAAGACCAUCAGUUUCAACUAACCUGGACCUCCACGAUCUCUCAAACACUGAGCCACCAAGCCAGGCAACAGAUACUAGCUGGUCCAAGGCCCCCAACACAUAUACAGCAGAAGACUGCCUGGUCUGGCUUCAAUGAGACAAGAUGUACCUAACCCUUGAGAGACUUGAGGCCCCAGGGAAUGGGGAGGCCUGACAGGGUGUGUUUUGAUGUGUAGGAGGUGGAAACAUCCUCUUGGAGUCAUGGGAGUAGGAAUGGGAUGAGGAACUGUCACUGUCGGAGUGUGGACUGGGAGGGGAAUAACAAGUGAACUGUAAAAAAAACGAGUGAUGAUGAAGAUGAUGGUGGUGAUGAUGGAAAAAGAAAAAUACUGUUAAAUAAAAAUACUAUAUAUGAAGGAGAAUUAUUUAGCUGAAUCUCUAUCAUGUGAUUGUGGAGCAGAUGCUGUCUCAGUAAAUCUUAUCUCUCUGACUGCCAGAAGUCCUAUUUACCUGGUUUUGCCGGUAUUACCUACCAAGUACUAACACCCAUAUCUUUCUCUAGAGAACUCCCUGCUCCAGUUGAUGGGAGUCAUGGUCUUGGGAAUCCCUCAGAAGAAAGGCUGGGACAUAAGGAGAGCAAUGAGGAAGAAAUGACAUAAUCUUCACAUUAUUGAGACGUCAAAAGCUUCCUCUAGUCAAGUAUGAUUUUGAUUUUUAUUGAAGAGUACAUUUUCUGUGCAUGGCAAAGUGUCUUUUUUAUGGAGCAGUUGGUGACGGGCAGCCAGAGAAAACGGCACAUGCAAGACAGAGUUGGCAAUGAGCGGCUGAAGUGAGAAAUGGCGCAUGCGUAUUUGGAGUGGCCAGCAGGCUUUACAAUCUGUUGCGCUGGAAUUUUAGGGACUUACCACAGACAGUGUUUGUUAUUGCAGAGAGUUUUGUUUCCCAGGAGGAAGGAAGAUUAACCAAAAGAAAUACAACAGUAAAAAGUACACAGAUGAUACAGCAAAACAAAAUCCUGGACUAUAAACCACAAAUGGCCCAACGGAUUUGCCUGGGAAUAGCUGGAGCGAGGAAGACUAGCAAACAUGCUUAGUUUUGGGGAUCUUCAGAUGGAGAUACUUCGAGCCAUCCCACUAAUAGGAUUACUCUAGACACGUUCAGAGGCAUGGUGACAAGAUCGGCCAUCCAGGAAUGGUUGAGAAGGUGCCUGCUAUUAAACAUACUGUGAGCGCUUGCUUCUAUAACCAGGCUGCUACCCUUCAAGGCCCAAAAGUUGCCAAACUGCAUGAAAAAUGUAGAAAAGACAAAUCGGUUUCCGGAUCCAGAUUUGAUUUGGGGCUGUAGUUCAACUUGUUUCUCUGUGUGUGUCUGGUAUCAUGAUGUUUAUUAGGAGUGUAAGUAGGCAUGAACAGUUGAGCAAGGAGCAUUAAUUCUUAUUACAAAACUUGCGUUCUCUCAGGGGACUUUGUUGAAGAGAAUAAGAUGAUAUGGAUCGACGUGGGCACUCUGUUCCCCCUUAUUCUCUUCAUUGUGACCAGUUAUGGAUCUCCGUAAUAGUCUCCAUCAAUUGCAAAAUCCACGUUAAUCUAUGGAUGUACGUGUUGCAUGGCACCUUCGGAAUUGAGGCGAGCUGAUUCUCAGGGAGGAGGCUUCCAGUUCAAUUCUUCCAAGUCCCCUGCCUGAAGUUUGGACAGGAGCUCCUUUGGAUAAGCAUUAGGAAGACAGCCGACUUGUGUGGAAGGCACUGAAGAGCCUUAGCCCCGGGAAAAUAUUCAAUGAAUGUCGGAAAGGGAAGAUCCAUUCAGCGCAGCAAGAUGUGGAUGUCCAGGCAGAGGAGAAGGGUGGCAACCGG
rnacentral:lncRNA from 1 species